CCGGACUGCUCGGGGUUAGGCUGGGCAUCGGUCAGCGGGUGAAUAUACCAUCUCUCUGUAGGUCACUCACUAGAUUUCUCUAGUGAGAGAAUGUAGAGGGACUGCUUGUUACGAUGAGGGGCAAAUGUCAACAGGGGCUCACAAGAUGACAUCUUUCGUACGAAGACUUCUGCCAGGUGAGUUGUCAGUGGGUGGCAGCUUCUGCACAAGGGCUCUCUGUUGUUUACUUGCUUGUUUAGUACACAUUUGCAAUACUGUCUUGGACAGUGAAAUCUAGGUCAAACCUCCAUUUCCUGAAGCUACAUUUCCCUUUCAGCUAGUGAAGUGUUACUUGAGAGCUUUAUCUUGCAGCUACUGUUUGUUUGUUUGUUUGUUUGUUUGUUUUUUUGUUUGUUUGUUUUUUAAUUGAUUUUUUUUCUUUGUUUUGUUUUCCUUCCAGAAUGGAAUCAUACCUUAGCUAUACCCAUGACAAAGCUAUUUUUUCAGACCUGUGUCUCUUCUUCCUAGUCCUUUAACCUUGAUAACCCCAUUUUCAUUCCUUGUAUGAAAAAGUUCUCUGGAAAGGCAAAACGACUACAGUAACUACCUCAGAUGCCCUCCAUCAGGCUAUAAUAGGAGAUGUUUGAAUGUCAUAGCGAAUGUUGUUGUUGCUACAAGACAAGUUUGCCAAAUUCAGGAAACUGUCUUGGUAUCUUACAUCUCUUAUGCCCAGAAAUCCAGCCCAAUUUCACAUUUCCAGAUUGGAACAGGUAGGUGAGGGAGUUCUUUAAGCACUUUGACUUCUGAGUGUCUGUUUCCUUUACAUAUGUUCCCAGUUCACCUCUUCAUGGCAUUUUAGUGGAAGUGUUAUGCAGUUUCUAUUACUUGAUCUAGAUGUCUAGUACAAAAUACACUUCAGAAUGAAAAGACCAUCUGUCAGUGAGAACUAAAGUGUAGGUAUAAUGAUAUUAAUGAAUGCAGCUUAAAGAUGUUCCCAUCUGGUGUAAUUCUGCCUAACUCUAACUCUGUUCUGAAGAUAUAGGAAGUUGUUACAUCAGACUUUUGCACAGGGAGCUACCAGUUGGCUGGAGCACAUUUGUUAAAGUUUGUUCAGCAAUGAAGAUAUUUUAGCCUCCAUCAGGUAGUAGAUGAUGCAUGUAGUGCGUUGUCUUCCUAAUGGCCAGAAAGGUGCUUUGUAUAUAACAACUUCAAAUAAAGUUUUUCAGAAGACAUUCACAUGGGACUUCAGAAAGAGUUCUUCAGUGAUUUUUGUUACAAAUUGCCUGCUUAUGCCCUCAUGCUGUUUAACCUCAUUAUGUCAAAUGGCUGCUGUCUGUCAACAAGGACAAAUUCUUCCCAGUCUCACAGAUGUUAAGUUAAAAUAUUUUUAACAUAUUUUGAAAAAUGCUAGAAGAGAGAAUUGGGCUCUUGAAAACUGAAUAUGGUUGAGUGCUUGUCACAAGUCACCAUGACUUUGUUUUGCUAUAGCUGGUUAGGGAAUAUUUCAAGUGUACUACAGGCAUAGCAGAUUGUGUUAUGAACAUGUUGUUUAAACUGAUUCUUCAUAAAGCAUUUCUCUGUGUUGCCCAUUCAAUGUGGUAAAUAUAUUCUUAUCAUGUCCUGCAGCUUUUUCUCCAUCUAUCAAGCCAAAGGCCCUGAAUCCUUCUCCAGACUAAGACUCCUUAGCCUAUUUAGUUGUUCUUAAUGAAUGUCAUCCAGUAAUCUUGAUUAUCUUUGUUGCCCUUCCCUGUGUUUGUUUCGGGUUCUACUUCUUACUUUUGAGAUGCAAGGAUUAGAAUAAUAUCCAACGGAUAUUAAAUUAAAGAUGUGUCUUUUCACUCAUCUGAGUGUUUGUCGAAUCAUCUUACUCAUCUCCUUUUUUUUUUUUUUUCCUUGGUAACAUCAGAUCUGCAAGUUUUGCUAGGAUAUCAACUGAAACUAAGUUUUUGUCUUUUUUGUUGUUUUGUUUGGUUGGUUGGUUUUGGUUGUUUUAACGUUAAUGUCAAUGUUCUGUUUCAUUUCUAUGCACAUCCUGUUUUGCUAUGAGAAUGCUUAAGAUAAAAGUAGAUUUCUGACUAAAGAGAGAUCAAAAUUGAAACAUUUGCUAUUUGGAUGUUUGUAGAAAGAAAUUAUUUUACAAAGACACAAUUGUUUUGUAUCAAUACAUUUGCAGGGCUUAAUUUCUAAAGAAGAGAAAGAUUAAAUUUCUUUACCAUGAAAGAUACUGUGAGAUGGAGUUGUUGACUCUAGUUUACUCUGCUAAGGCCUACUUUUAUUUUGUAGCAUUUAACAGUAAUCAUACUGUAAUGUGUUUUAGUCUUUACCAAACCAACCUGAUCCAGUUCUCAAAGAUUUUCCUGUAGUAUUUUCAAUUCUUGAUCUGUCAAUUCAUCCACUUUGUAUUUUUCCUUUAUUACAUGUCCAGAAAUAAGUGUAAAAAGUAGGAAUUUUAAGUCAAUACCAGCAAUGUAGGUAACUUGCAAAAUGUUAAAAAAAAAUUGUCAAAAGCAUGUAUGUACUACCAAAGAAAAUUCAGUAUUGCAAAAAAGAUGCCAGAUAAAUGUCAGCCAGGAUAUACACAUAGAUUUCUUGGAAAUUUGUAGUCAUUAUUUUGGAUUAAAACUGCUGAUACAUAUGUACUUGUUAAAAUUAGUCUAUAGCCAUUUUAUUAUACAAAAAUGUUUCGUAAGUCAUAGAGGAGUUUCACAAGAUACAAAACAUUCUUUUAGUGUGUUAUGCAGGCUUACUACAAAAAAAACCAUUAUAGAUCAUGAGGAACAGCUAUUCAGCUGCUUCAGAAAUUAUCUGUCAUAAUACUAAAAAUAAAGCACAAUAGUGUAUACCAAAUCA